rnacentral:rRNA from 1 species
CGGUGGAGUAUGUGGUUUAAUUCGAAGCAACGCGCAGAACCUUACCAGCCCUUGACAUACCGGUCGCGGACACAGAGAUGUGUCUUUCAGUUCGGCUGGACCGGAUACAGGUGCUGCAUGGCUGUCGUCAGCUCGUGUCGUGAGAUGUUGGGUUAAGUCCCGCAACGAGCGCAACCCUCGCCCUUAGUUGCCAGCAUUUAGUUGGGCACUCUAAGGGGACUGCCGGUGAUAAGCCGAGAGGAAGGUGGGGAUGACGUCAAGUCCUCAUGGCCUUUAUGACCAGGGCUACACACGUACUACAAUGGCCGAUACAAAGGGUUGCCAAGCCGCGAGGUGGAGCUAAUCCCAUAAAACCGAUCGUAGUCCGGAUCGCAGUCUGCAACUCGACUGCGUGAAGUCGGAAUCGCUAGUAAUCGUGAAUCAGAAUGUCACGGUGAAUACGUUCCCGGGCCUU